rnacentral:rRNA from 1 species
CAGCCGUAAACUAUGCGCGUUAGGUGUAUCGGUGACCACGAGUCACCGAGGUGCCGAAGGGAAACCGUGAAACGUGCCGCCUGGGAAGUACGGUCGCAAGGCUGAAACUUAAAGGAAUUGGCGGGGGGAGGCACAACAACGGGUGGAGCCUGCGGUUUAAUUGGACUCAACGCCGGACAACUCACCGGGACGACAGCAAUAUGUAGGCCAGGCUGAAGACCUUGCCUGAAUCGCUGAGAGGAGGUGCAUGGCGUAGACGUCU